UACGUAGGAUGCGAGCGUUUGUCCGGAAUUAUUGGGCGUAAAGAGAACGUAGGUGGUUUCUUAAGUUUGGGCUUAAAGACUGGAGCUUAACUCCAGGACUGGCUCGAAAACUGGGAGACUAGAGGAUGUCAGAGGAAAGUGGAAUUCCGAGUGUAGCGGUGAAAUGCGUAGAUAUUCGGAGGAACACCAGUGGCGAAAGCGACUUUCUGGGACAUUCCUGACACUGAGGUUCGAAAGCUCGGGGAGCAAACAGG
rnacentral:rRNA from 1 species